rnacentral:rRNA from 1 species
AUGUUUGAGCUUAAACCGUUACCUGAUACUCUUAAAUAUGCUUAUCUUGAUGAGAAGAAGAUAUAUCCUGUUAUUAUUAGUGCUAACCUUUCAGAGCAUGAAGAAGAGAGAUUAUUGAAAACUCUGAAGAAGCACCGCGCUGCUAUUGGAUAUACUCUUGAUGAUCUUAAGGGCAUUAGUCCCACUCUAUGUCAACAUAAAAUAAAUUUGGAGAAAGAUGCCAAACCAGUUCGUGAUCACCAACGACGGCUGAAUCCUAAGAUGAAAGAAGUGGUAAGAAAGGAAAUUCUAAAGCUCCUUGAGGAAGGUAUAAUUAAUCCCGUUGUUGAUAGUCAGUGGGUAAGUCCUGUCCAUUGUGUCCCUAAGAAGGGAGGUAUUACUGUCGUUCCUAAUGAUAAAGAUGAAUUGAUUCCGCAAAGGAUUAUUACAGGUUAUAGAAUGGUAAUUGAUUUCCGCAAAUUAAAAAAAGCUACUAAAAAAGAUCAUUACCCCUUACCUUUCAUCGAUCAAAUGCUAGAAAGAUUAUCCAAACAUACACAUUUUUGCUUUCUAGAUGGUUAUUCUGGUUUCUCUCAAAUACCUGGGUCAGCCGAUGAUCAAUCGAAUACCACUUUUACUUGCCCUUUCGGUACUUUUGCUUAUAGACGUAUGCCUUUUGGUUUAUGUAAUGCACCUGCUACCUUUCAAAGAUGCAUGAUGGCUAUAUUCUCUGACUUUUGUGAAAAGAUUUGUGAGGUUUUCAUGGACGAUUUCUCCGUUUAUGGAUCCUCUUUUGAUGAUUUCUUGAGCAACCUUGAUCGAGUUUUGCAGAGAUGUGAAGAAACUAAUCUUGUCUUGAAUUGGGAAAAGUGCCACUUUAUGGUUAAUGAAGGUAUUGUCUUGGGGCAUAAAGUUUCUGAAAGAGGCAUUGAAGUUGAUAAAGCCAAGGUUGAUGCUAUUGAAAAGAUGCCAUGUCCCAAGGAUAUCAAAGGUAUAAGAAGUUCCCUUGGUCAUGCCGGUUUUUAUAGGAGGUUCAUUAAGGACUUCUCCAAAAUUUCUCGGCCUCUGACUAAUUUAUUGCAAAAAGAUAUACUAUUUGUCUUUGAUGAUGAUUGUGUAGAAGCAUUUGAAAUACUUAAGAAAGCAUUGAUUUCUGCACCUAUCAUUCAGCCACCUGAUUGGAAUUUACCCUUCGAAAUUAUGUGUGAUGCUAGUGAUUAUGCUGUAGGUGCUGUUCUAGGGCAAAGAGUUGAUAAGAAAUUAAAUGUUAUUCAAUAUGCUAGUAAAACUCUAGACAAUGCUCAGAGAAAUUAUGCUACUACUGAAAAAGAAUUCUUAGCAGUUGUAUUUGUUUAUGAUAAGUUUAGACCUUAUAUUGUUGAUUCUAAAGUAACUAUUCACACUGAUCAUCCUGCUAUUAAAUAUCUUAUGGAAAAGAAAGAUGCUAAACCUAGACUUAUUAGAUGGGUUCUCUUGCUACAAGAAUUUGAUUUGCAUAUUAUUGAUAGAAAGGGAGCUGAGAACCCCGUUGCAGACAACUUGUCUAGGAUAGAAAAUGUUCUUGAUGACCCACUAACUAUUGAUGAUAGCUUUCCUAAUGAACAAUUAAAUGUCAUAAAUACUUCUCGUACUGCUCCAUGGUAUGCUGAUUAUGCUAAUUACAUUGUUGCUAAAUUUAUACCACCUGGUUUCACAUACCAGCAAAAGAAAAAGGCUUUCUAUGAUUUGAGACAUUACUUUUGGGAUGACCCACAUCUUUAUAAAGAAGGAGUAGAUGGUGUUAUUAGACGUUGUGUACCUGAGCAUGAACAGGAACAGAUCCUACGCAAGUGUCACUCUGAGGCUUAUGGAGGACACCACGCUGGAGACAGAACUGCACAUAAGGUAUUGCAAUCCGGUUUUUAUUGGCCUACUCUCUUCAAGGAUGCCCGUAAGUUUGUUUUAUUAGACGUCAAGAAAUUCCUAUGA